rnacentral:rRNA from 1 species
UACGGGGGGGGCAAGCGUUGUUCGGAAUUACUGGGCGUAAAGGGCUCGUAGGUGGCCAACUAAGUCAGACGUGAAAUCCCUCGGCUUAACCGGGGAACUGCGUCUGAUACUGGAUGGCUUGAGUUCGGGAGAGGGAAGCGGAAUUCCGGGUGUAGCGGUGAAAUGCGUAGAUAUCCGGAGGAACACCGGUGGCGAAGGCGGCUUCCUGGACCGACACUGACGCUGAGGCGCGAAAGCCAGGGGAGCAAACGGG